GGUGGAUGCCCUGGCAGUCAGAGGCGAUGAAGGGCGUACUAAUCUGCGAUAAGCGCCGGUAAGGUGAUAUGAACCGUUAUAACCGGCGAUACCCGAAUGGGGAAACCCAGUGUGAUUCGUCACACUAUCAUUAACUGAAUCCAUAGGUUAAUGAGGCGAACCGGGGGAACUGAAACAUCUAAGUACCCCGAGGAAAAGAAAUCAACCGAGAUUCCCCCAGUAGCGGCGAGCGAACGGGGAGGAGCCCAGAGCCUGAAUCAGCAUGUGUGUUAGUGGAAGCGUCUGGAAAGGCGCGCGAUACAGGGUGACAGCCCCGUACACAAAAGCGCAUGUGCUGUGAGCUCGAUGAGUAGGGCGGGACACGUGGUAUCCUGUCUGAAUAUGGGGGGACCAUCCUCCAAGGCUAAAUACUCCUGACUGACCGAUAGUGAACCAGUACCGUGAGGGAAAGGCGAAAAGAACCCCGGCGAGGGGAGUGAAAAAGAACCUGAAACCGUGU
rnacentral:rRNA from 2 species